GCGGGCUGGACCUCUCGGGGUUACAGCCUUGCUGAAUUAUUCACCC
rnacentral:rRNA from 1 species